CCUGUGGCUGCCGUCACAGGCUUUGUCCUGGCGCCGCUCCGCGGCU
rnacentral:sRNA from 1 species